rnacentral:rRNA from 1 species
GACGGAGGGUGCUAGCGUUGUUCGGAAUUACUGGGCGUAAAGGGCGCGUAGGCGGCUAGGCACGUCGGAUGUGAAAGCCCUGGGCUCAACCCAGGAAGUGCAUUCGAAACUGCAGAGCUGGAGUCCUGGAGAGGAAGGCGGAAUUCUCGGUGUAGAGGUGAAAUUCGUAGAUAUCGAGAGGAACACCGGUGGCGAAGGCGGCCUUCUGGACAGUGACUGACGCUGAGACGCGAAAGCGUGGGGAGCAAACAGG